GGUUAAGUUAAUAAGGGCGCACGGUGGAUGCCUUGGCACUAGGAGCCGAAGAAGGACGGCACUAACACCGAUAUGCCUCGGGGAGCUGUAAGUGAGCUGUGAUCCGGGGAUUUCCGAAUGGGGAAACCCACUGUUCGUAAUGGAGCAGUAUCCAUGUGUGAAUACAUAGCACAUGAGAAGGCAGACUCAGGGAACUGAAACAGAAAUUCCGUCGGAAUCCGGGAGGACCAUCUCCCAAGGCUAAAUACUCCCUAGUGACCGAUAGUGAACCAGUACCGUGAGGGAAAGGUGAAAAGCACCCCGGAAGGGGAGUGAAAUAGAUCCUGAAACCGUGUGCCUACAAGUAGUUAGAGCCCGUUAAUGGGUGAUAGCGUGCCUUUUGUAGAAUGAACCGGCGAGUUACGAUUGCAUGCAAGGUUAAGGUGAGAAGCCGGAGCCGCAGCGAAAGCGAGUCUGAAUAGGGCGAAUGAGUAUGCAGUUGUAGACCCGAAACCAGGUGAUCUACCCAUGUCCAGGGUGAAGGUAAGGUAACACUUACUGGAGGCCCGAACCCACGCACGUUGAAAAGUGCGGGGAUGAGGUGUGGGUAGCGGAGAAAUUCCAAUCGAACCUGGAGAUAGCUGGUUCUCUCCGAAAUAGCUUUAGGGCUAGCCUCAAGAUAGAGAAUCCUGGAGGUAGAGCACUGUUUGGACUAGGGGCCCAUCCCGGGUUACCGAAUUCAGACAAACUCCGAAUGCCAGUGAUUUAUGCUUGGGAGUCAGACUGCGAGUGAUAAGAUCCGUAGUCAAGAGGGAAACAGCCCAGACCACCAGCUAAGGUCCCCAAAUAUCCGUUAAGUGGAAAAGGAUGUGGCGUUGCUUAGACAACCAGGAUGUUGGCUUAGAAGCAGCCAUCAUUUAAAGAGUGCGUAAUAGCUCACUGGUCGAGUGACACUGCGCCGAAAAUGUACCGGGGCUAAACGGAUUACCGAAGCUGUGGAUGGACAUC
rnacentral:rRNA from 1 species